AGUGGCGGACGGGUGAGUAACGCGCGAGGAUCUGCCCUUAGGAUGGGGACAACAGUUGGAAACGACUGCUAAUACCCAAUGUGCCGAAAGGUGAAAGCUUUAGCGCCUGAGGAUGAACUCGCGUCUGAUUAGCUAGUUGGUAGUGUAAUGGACUACCAAGGCGACGAUCAGUAGCUGGUCUGAGAGGAUGAUCAGCCACACUGGGACUGAGACACGGCCCAGACUCCUACGGGAGGCAGCAGUGGGGAAUUUUCCGCAAUGGGCGAAAGCCUGACGGAGCAACGCCGCGUGAGGGAAGACGGCUCGUGGGUUGUAAACCUCUUUUCUCUAGGAAGAAGAACUGACGGUACUAGAGGAAUCAGCAUCGGCUAACUCCGUGCCAGCAGCCGCGGUAAUACGGAGGAUGCGAGCGUUAUCCGGAAUUAUUGGGCGUAAAGCGUCCGUAGGUGGCUGUAUAAGUCAGCUGUUAAAGAGUGAGGCUUAACCUCAUAAAGGCGGUUGAAACUAUGGAGCUAGAGUUCGGUAGGGGUUACGGGAAUUCCCAGUGUAGCGGUGAAAUGCGUAGAUAUUGGGAAGAACACCGGUGGCGAAAGCGCGUAACUGGGCCUGAACUGACACUGAGGGACGAAAGCUAGGGGGGCGAAAGGGAUUAGAUACCCCUGUAGUCCUAGCUGUAAACGAUGGAUACUAGGCGUUG
rnacentral:rRNA from 1 species